AGUAACGCGUGAGCAAUCUGCCUUUAAGAGGGGGAUAACAGUCGGAAACGGCCGCUAAUACCGCAUAAAGCAUCAAAUUCGCAUGUUUUUGAUGCCAAAGGAGCAAUCCGCUUUUUAGAUGAGCUCGCGUCUGAUUAGCUGGUUGGCGGGGUAACGGCCCACCAAGGCGACGAUCAGUAGCCGGACUGAGAGGUUGAACGGCCACAUUGGGACUGAGACACGGCCCAG
rnacentral:rRNA from 1 species